rnacentral:rRNA from 1 species
UGAAUACGAGAUGCUACGGCGUCGAAGCAGUGUAUGUCAGACUUCCAAGAAAAGCUCGCAAUGUCAUAAAUAAAGAAUGCCUGUACCAUAACCGACACAGGUGGGUAGGUAGAGUAUACUAAGGGGCGCGAGAUAACUCUCUCUAAGGAACUCGGCAAAAUAACUCCGUAACUUCGGGAGAAGGAGUGCCUUCUAUUAGAAGGUUGCAAUAACAAGAUCCAAGCAACUGUUUAUCAAAAACACAGGUCUCCGCUAAGUCGUAAGACGAUGUAUGGGGGCUGACGCCUGCCCAGUGCCAGAAGGUUAAAGAAGCUGGUUAGCUUUGGCGAAGCUGAUGACUGAAGCCCUGGUGAACGGCGGCCGUAACAAUAACGGUCCUAAGGUAGCGAAAUUCCUUGUCGGGUAAGUUCCGACCCGCACGAAAGGCGUAAUGAUUUGGGUACUGUCUCGGAGAGGGACUCGGUGAAAUAGACUUGUCUGUGAAGAUGCGGACUACCUGCACCAGGACAGAAAGACCCUAUGAAGCUUUACUGUAACUUGAAAUUGAAAUUGGACUUUAUUUGCGCAGCAUAGGUGGAAGGCGUUGAGAUUACUCUUGCGGGAGUACUGGAGCCAUCAGUGAGAUACCACUCCUAUAAUGUUAGAUUUCUAACUUUGGAUCAUGAUCUGGUCAAAGAACAGUUUCAGGCGGGCAGUUUGACUGGGGCGGUCGCCUCCCAAAUGGUAACGGAGGCGUACAAAGGUUUCCUCUGAACGGGUAGAAAUCGUAUCUAGAGUGUAAAGGCAUAAGGAAGCUUGACUGUGAGACCUACAAGUCGAGCAGGGACGAAAGUCGGUCUUAGUGAUCUGACGGUGCUGAGUGGAAAGGCCGUCACUCAACGGAUAAAAGUUACUCUAGGAUAACAGGCUGAUCUCCCCCAAGAGUUCACAUCGACGGGGAGGUUUGGCACCUCGAUGUCGGCUCAUCGCAUCCUGGGGCGGUAGUACGUCCCAAGGGUUGGGCUGUUCGCCCAUGAAAGCGGUACGCGAGCUGGGUCAGAACGUCGUGAGACAGUUCGGUCCAUAUCCGGUGUAGGCGUUAGAAUAUUGAGAGGAGCCUUCUUUAGUACGAGAGGACCGAGAAGGACAUACCUCUGGUGUACCAGUUAUCGUGCCAACGGUAAACGCUGGGUAGCUAUGUAUGGAGAGGAUAACCGCUGAAAGCAUCUAAGUGGGAAGCCCACCUCAAGACGAGUAUUCUC